rnacentral:rRNA from 1 species
CCUACGGGAGGCUGCAGUGAGGAAUAUUGGUCAAUGGACGAGAGUCUGAACCAGCCAAGUAGCGUGAAGGAUGACUGCCCUAUGGGUUGUAAACUUCUUUUAUAUGGGAAUAAAAUGUUCCACGUGUGGGAUUUUGUAUGUACCAUAUGAAUAAGGAUCGGCUAACUCCGUGCCAGCAGCCGCGGUAAUACGGAGGAUCCGAGCGUUAUCCGGAUUUAUUGGGUUUAAAGGGAGCGUAGGUGGAUUGUUAAGUCAGUUGUGAAAGUUUGCGGCUCAACCGUAAAAUUGCAGUUGAAACUGGCAGUCUUGAGUACAGUAGAGGUGGGCGGAAUUCGUAGUGUAGCGGUGAAAUGCUUAGAUAUCACGAAGAACUCCGAUUGCGAAGGCAGUUCACUGGACUGCAACUGACACUGAGGCUCGAAAGUGUGGGUAUCAAACAGGAUUAGAUACCCGAGUAGUC